GUUUAACCUCUGAUGGUUAUUCUACCAAAAUGUUCAAACUAUAUAAGGCUAUAAAGUCGUAAACAAAACCAAUCGGCAUAUAACUGCCUCAACUAAAAUCUGCCACUAUCAGUUACAGGAGGAUUCACCAUUUAAAUCCUCAGUCCAAGCAAAGAAGAGACCUUUGGUGAAGUUCUCUUCUAUGUCACACCCUUCUUAAUUUACAGUUAGACUGCACACUUCUUCCCAACAUUUGCUGGAACCAUUCCUCCACAUCAAAACAUGUUGCAACUCUAAAAACUCCAAUGACAAUUUUCUCUUCUUGUUUUAUGCUUUGCGAACAAAAGAAUAGCUCCUCAAUAACUACUUGGCCAGUUCAUCUGUGCAUGCUGAGGCCGUUGAUAAACAUUGCCGGUUGGUCCAACCAUAUCAACUGGACCAGCUAUUGUUUGGGACUGCUGCAGAAGUGGAUGAACAGUUGAUGCUGUAACUGGUUGAGCUGGGUGAUAAACACCAGCAAAAGUUCCAUGACCUGGUUGAGUGGGUGUUAGAGCCACUUGACCCUGAGGAAGAUUAUAAAACGAACUUGCUUGCAAACUAGAUAAAUCUCUAUUGUGCGCAUUAAUCCACACACCUGAGCUUUCACUCUGUUGUCCACUCACAUAGACAUUACUCUCCUGGAACUGAGAUGCAAAAAGAUCCUCGUUGGAAGCAGGGUUUCCAGUCGUUGUAGAUGAACUAGGGUUAUAGUUGACAGGAGAGGAUCCAUAUGGCGCAUAAGUGCCAGGCACUCCCAUGUGAGCUGGAUUUCCAACAUUAGCUCCUGGUCUAUAUUGCGAAAGUGAGUAUCUGGGAACAGCUGAUUGUGGAGGUGGAUAUAUACCACCAGCCUGAGGCUGCUGGGAAAAUGCACCAUUGCUUAAAAAUUGAUGGAUGGCUGCUGGUGGAACAUAGAAUGGUGAAAAGUAGUGACCGUAUGGAAUGAAAUUUGGAGGAUAAUGGGGCAGAUGCAUCCCUGUAGCCUAUCGAAAUACGGGGAUAGGUUGCUGAGGUACAGCUAUAGAACUCUGC
rnacentral:misc_RNA from 1 species